rnacentral:rRNA from 1 species
UUUAAUGAGAGUUUGAUCCUGGCUCAGGACGAACGCUGGCGGCGUGCCUAAUACAUGCAAGUAGAACGCUGAGGUUUGGUGUUUACACUAGACUGAUGAGUUGCGAACGGGUGAGUAACGCGUAGGUAACCUGCCUCAUAGCGGGGGAUAACUAUUGGAAACGAUAGCUAAUACCGCAUAAGAGUAAUUAACACAUGUUGGUUAUUUAAAAGGAGCAAUUGCUUCACUGUGAGAUGGACCUGCGUUGUAUUAGCUAGUUGGUGAGGUAAAGGCUCACCAAGGCGACGAUACAUAGCCGACCUGAGAGGG